CAUUAAGUAGCUGAAAUGUUGCAGCAUUGGUCUCUUAAACCAAAAAAUAGUAAUUUAACAAAUACUCUUAAUGA
rnacentral:tRNA from 1 species